GUAAGCUCCAAGCCUCGGGGUCUAGGAGGAGAGAAGGGAGCAGGAAUCCUCCUUCCGAAUGCCAACCCCGGGAGGGCAGGGCUGGAUCUUCCCUGGUGGCUGCUCCACCUCCAGCACGGAGAACAUAGCCCGGCACACAAUGAGGAGACUGAGAGAAGUAAAGGUUCAUUCCCGAGGAGUUGAGGGUAAACCCAGGGUAAACCUGUGCCUUCCUGCUUACCCUCCCACCAAGCUGAAAGGGGCCUCAUGCACAGAGAAUGAAAAAAGGUGAUUUGACUUUCUGAGGAGUUGACAAGGUCACUGCCAAGGUCCACACCUUUGGGUUAAAGCAGGGCAUCCCAAACUCCCUGAUCUGAAGGAUCUUCCGGGCUGGGUACAAUACACAUUUCAAUGCCUGCCCCCAGGCCCAGUGAGGUGAGAUUCCCUGCAGCUUGAAUGAGAUUCUUCAUUUGGAGAAACAGGGGGUUAAGGCUCUGGAGGCCCUGUUAAAAGCCUGGGGUUGGGGGAACACAGGGACUCCCUUCUCACCAAAGGGCCUGAAGUCUGAACCAGGCCAUCAGAGGAGAACCCGGCCGUUAAUCAUUCACUCAAUGUGUGGUAGAGUCUAAGGGCCAGGGCCUGUCCGUGCCCUGCUGUGCCCAGCUAGGGAGCCGGGGCAGCUCGGGAAGGCCCUGACAAGCAAUUGACUCCAACUUCCUACCUCUGACAGCCACCUGUCCUUGAAUCCUGGGGACGGGAAGCUCAGUCCUCACAGGGCCGACCCUUCCCUUGUGGGCUGGCUUUGCAGAACAGAGGUAGCAAUGUCACCUUCCCCAAUGCACCAGGAAGGGUGGUGGUUUAAAGAGAGGCAUUUUGAUGAGCCACCAGGGCCGACUCCUGAUUUAUUUUCCCCAUUCGAGCUCCAGAGUGGAGACUGCGUUCUCUCUGCCGGCCCUGUGGCAGAGGGUGAAGGAGGUAGUGGCUCCGGAAAGACCAUAUUAAUUAGCUUAAUGAGCACUUGUGCAUUUGUGUGCACAGACAUGGGAGGCAAGUGUGAAUCUCUGUCACCGACAUCAUUAAUUGCUGGGGGUGCAUCUCCCCCCACCCAAAACCUAGACACUUAGAGAAAUGAAUCAGGCCCAGUCUGGGAACACCAUUAAAACACUUGGCUGCUCUGGGUGCCGGUCCAUUGCCCUGUGGCUGCUGGGGCUCUGUCCUUCAAGAAGAGGCUGCUGUCAACACACACAGUCCCUGCAGGAGCAGCCUCCAAGCUGCCUUCCAGCAGGGGGGCCCCAGGCCGAAGCCUGGUCCUCUACAGCUUAGGGGAGUCCCUAAGGAGGGGAGCAGGUGUGGGGAAAGCACCUUCCACCCCCAGCAGGAGCCACACACUGAGUCGGGCUGAUUAUUUCCUGCAGUGUGCUCUCUGAUGCUGGGAUGGAGCCCCAGCCCCACCACUCACCAGCCCUGAGCCCCCACGAAGUCCCUGUUCCUUCUGGGUGUCCCUCUCCUCAUCUGUAAGAUGAGGCUUUGCUGGCACCUAUGGCACAUGCCCACUAGGAAGAUGAAAUAAGAUAGUGACCCUGAAGCCCUUAGCCCAGUGCCUGGCACACAGGUAACUGUCGGCAAUGUUAGAUUUUUUUUACUGAGCAUUGUUAACAAAGUCCCUGGCACAUAGUAGGCAGUGAAUUAGGAUUUCAUGUCUUUCAGCAGGUGGACCUUGUGUUUGGAGAUCUAAUCCACGUGCCAUUUCUCACUGACUUGAUAGUUUGGUUAACCAAUGUUUAACCUUUUAUAAAUACCAUUUGUUCACAUCUCACCUAUAAACAGGCAACAGCAGCCAGCCCUCGCUGUCCAGGCGCAGCAUCCCAGGGUCAAGUCAAAUUCUUAAAUUGGAAGCCCGAGGAGAAUUUGCCACUGGCUAUAAACACCUCCCUCAGGAUCCAGACGCUCCCUGCCUGUCUGCGUAGGUGAGGGUUCAGGGCCUCCUCAAGCUGGUUGGGCCACUGGUGCUCCCAGUACCAUAAGCACCCUGCACGUAUGUAUGUCAUGUAUACGAGCAUGUAUGACUCUUUUCAUAGAUGAGGAAACUGAGGCGCAGAGACUUGCUUAGACACACAGCUGGCAAGCAGCGGAAAGGUCUGACCCCAGGUCAUUUGUGACCACACACCUGGUUUUAACUCAAGACCCUCCCAACCAAAAUCGAGAUAAUUUCCCCUGAAACAGUGGCAGGCACAGCACUUACAAGGGUGUGAAGGGGUCCCCUUGCGGCUAGGCACACCUGGGUGGGUGGUAGAGCAGUAUCCAUACCCCUGGCUUCUCCUUGCACCUUCAUUUUAACCCCCAUUUUAUCAGCACCCUCUUUACUCCAAGCACUGGGGGAAACCCAGUGGGGUCAGAUGCACCCGACCAGCAAUUAAAAGCAACACUGGCUCUUGCCUCACUCUGAGGAUCAGAGACAUAAUUGGUGGGGCCCAGUGCAAACUGAAAAUGCAAUACCUUUUCUUCAAAAAUUAAGAAUUUCUAGAGGUCACUGCAGCAUGUGGGGGUCUGAGCCAAGCACAGGGCCCUCCUCAAUGUGGGGCCCAGUGUGGCCACACUGGUUGCAUAGCCAUGGAGCUGGCCCAGCUCCUGCUCACAGCCUGGCACAGACUGGGAGCAAAAUACAUGUUUAUUGAGUGAGUGAAAUGGCAUGUUCACCCCCAACUCUGUGAGGUGGACUCAGGAUCAUGAAUUUGCAGGUGGGUAAACUGAGGCUCAGGAAGUUUCCAGAUUCAUCCUGUUCUACCUGAAGCCCAGGUCCCUGCCUCCUACCACUCUUGUUUGCCCACUGUUCCAUGCUGACCCCAAUCCUGGCCUUUGUUUUCCUGAUCCCAGAAAGAAGGGAUAGUUUACCAUGGGCUGGAGUUUAUUUUAUUUUUGUGUUUUCCAAUAAUUGAUUCCAACAGUUCCUACAGACAGACGUCCUGCAGAAGGAAAACAUGUUUUGCUCGCUCAACCUUCGACUUCCUCAUGGCACCACAGUGGUGGGGGCCCAUGGCCUCGAGGAAAGCGUGGGGUGACUUUUCCCUUGGUUAUUUUUUUCCAUCUCACUGUUGGGGGACAACAAAACAUGUUUUCCUUUUUCUCCAAAGGAAAUCGGAACUUUCUUAUUGACUACUCAUUGCCUAAAACUCACCUUCCUUCUCCGUGAUAAUCUUGGAUUGGAUGAGAUGUGUAAGUUAACUUCAAAAUAAAGGAAUGUCCUUCAUUUUACUAAAAGGACAACCAUCACAACCAAAGAUUUCAUUCACAUGGAGCCACCAACACCACUGAAAUUCACCGUGGCUUCCUCGUCAGUCUGUGCACACAUUUGAAGUGGCUUUAUAAUUUCAAGUUCACACGUUUGCUCAUAAUGUUACCUUUUUCAAAUGCACAGGGCUGAGUGAACAUACACAUUGCCAAUAUUCUGGUCAAGUUGAAAUGGCUGCUUAGAGGUCAUGGAAACAGAAUUAGGUGUAUGGUGUGAGGAAGGGGUCAAGAAUCUUUUUAUUCCCAUGUGAAUGUCCAAUUUAUCCAGCACCAUUUAUUUAAAACACCCUCUCUCACUGUACUGUUGUGUCUCCCCUAUUAUAAAUUUGGCACUUCUAUACAUGUUGGGCUAGUUCUGGACUUUCCUUUCUGUUCCUUGGGUCUAUUUUUUUAUCUUUGCACCAAGACCACCCUGUCUUAAUUACUAUUGUAUCCACUGAAAUCAAGAAAUCAUGCUAGACUUAGUAACUCUCCUAUUGUUGAACAUUUAGGUUGUUGCCAAUGUUUUAUUAUAACGACUUGUGUAAUACUGAGUCAUAGCAAUAAAGAAACAAUCAUAGUUG
rnacentral:lncRNA from 10 species